GAAACCUAAAGUAAUUAAAUAGCAUGCUCACAGUUCUGGGCUUAGAAUCCUGGUUGGCUGACUUCUGGCUUAUUGCUCUUUUCACAGCCGUAAGCUGUCUCCUGCAAUUGAUUUCUUCAGAGUCCAUGGCUAAUUCUUUAGGAUACCCUAAUCGUGGAUGGAGCUGGAGCAGGUUGGCCCCAGAGAUUGGAUCCUGGGUUGCAGAGGAGGAAGAUGCGUACUUUCCACUCUCCAUGCUGACAUAGACCGUUUUAUAUAUAUUUAUUUUUUCAUAUCACAUAAUUUCAAUCACCUUCCUGCACUAAAAAACGUAGAUUUCUCCAACAUCAUUCUUGAGGCUUGCAGUGGAUUCUAUGAGAUGAAGGUGACAACUUAGUGCAUCGCAUAAACCUGAAUUUGCCAUUUUCCCAACCUGAAAGCAAGGGUGGCCAGGCCACCCAGGGCAAUGGUGAAUGGUGGGUGAGAGGCAGAGCCCCUCUCCAAUAAACAACCUGGACUGUUUAUUGGGUUUUUGACCAACAAGACCUCAGGGAAAUUCCGGGAGCCUGAGGUUGGCAGAGACACAUAGAGGGGUGUGCCCUGUUGUCACUGACCAAUGGCAGAUGUGCCCUUACUCUGAACGCCAUCAAGAACACCUCUGUAAUAAUUUUCCUGUCCUCAUUAAGUUUGAGUUUGCAAGGAGACUCUUGCAAGCCAAGUUAAAUAUUCUGAGGCUUUAUGUCUGAGAUUCAGGUGGCUGCCACCCUGAGAGGGGAAAUGCCUGGCAUUAGAGCUUCUCCCACACAACAAGGUGGGAGUGCGGAUUUCCUUCCAGAGAAAUCACCAUAACUCAGCCAAUAUUGUAAUUAAAAUAGCAGUCAUAUAAAGAAAAAAGAUAAAGCAACUUGAACACUCAUAAGUACAAGGCUCAACAAUAAGAUACACUAUGUAUUUACAUAUUUUACUACAGUAUGACAGUUUAAAGAAAUAAAAAGUAUAGUUUUAAAAUGGGAAGAGCAAUGGGGAGAUGGUGAUACUUUUAAUCUUUAUACGUCUUUUCUAUUUCUCUAGCAAUAUAAAUCAUAUUUUUAUAGAAAAUCAUCAAAUAUGAACCCAUUUACAACACAAUAAUGAUAACAAAACAAUGGUCUCACACUCUGCUGCUGGCUGAAUGUGUUUUUCUGUGGCACAAAUGUACCUGGUGUACUUGUCUAGCUACGCUUCCUUCUUUGGAAGUUCCUUUGUGUAGGGCAUACAUCCAUUCUGGUUUAUUCAGGAAAGUCCCAGCUUAUGCCUGUUGGCCUUGGGGAAGAGUGUCCCUUUCACUCUCUAAAAUGCCUAAGUUUCAUUGAUAUUAUGAUACAGUCACCCCAGCCAUAAGCCUUGAUGAAUAAAUAGACCUAGGAAGACAUGUUCUUCCCUGGUGAUCUGCUUUUAUGUCCACAUCGGGUUGAAUCCCUCAUGAACCUCUGUCCAAAGCAGAGCCAAUUGGAGUCCCUCUCUCAACAAUUUGGACUGAGUCACUAAGGUCAAGCCAAGCAGAUUUGAACAAUGGAGUUGAGGUCAGGUGGAGCAGUGGCCAGAUCUGUUAUGACAACAACCUAAAGGCAUAUUUGCAUGUCAUUAUUAUGGGGGUAAAGGAGUCAAAGGCUUUGGAAGGGAGACAACAGGGAGAAGGAGGUCCUGUUUUCUUGUCAUUAAUGGGUCAGACAUCACCACUGGGCUGCUGAGAAGCAUGGCUUUUAUUAUUCCCCAUCCCUUCUUCCCAUAGCUAUCAAAGGCCAACUAGGAGUGGAAUAAAACUGCCUAUAUAAGGGAGUGUUAUGUGGCCCCCCACACCAUUCUCCCUUCCCCUUCCCAGGGGCUUCUGCUCUCUUUGAAGUCAAAGGAUGGAGCACCACUCAUACAUUUUUAUGCAGACUCUUGAAAGUAAAUCCAACUGCAGAAGGAGUUGUGCUUUUCAUUUCCUGGUGGUGGCAUCCAGUCACCAGGCUUGAGAGCCCAUAUCUGGGCUACUACAGCAGCAGAAAGAGAUGGCAUGGUGUGCUACCAGGCAGCAACAAAGACUGUCCCUCUGGGGUUCCUGGUUCCUGAGAGGAUGGAAAACAGAUCCUGUACACAUCAUGGGCCCCAGAUUUGGGGUUAGGAAGGGUAACUGGGACUUGGUUCAACAGUCUUGCCAGAGACCAAAGGAGUUCGGGGCAUCAGAGCAAGUGGAUGAACCCAUUGGCUGGAGGACAAGUGAAAGAUGUGGCCUAGUCUCCAGGAGACCACCUAUGCCUAGAAGAGUUUUUUGUCAGCAUGGCUGUUGGAGCUACCACUUGACCAGGUUGAGUUCAUAGAUAAUGAACGAAGUCAGCAGUUACUACCAACCAAGGUGAUGUCUGAAAGCUCACUGUGACAUUCACAUACUAGAUACACACCUUCUCUUUCUCUGCUCUCCAUUCCAACACAAGAGGAGAGAACAGGAGGAAGGAAGCAUGUGAGAGAGACUGUGUCUCACUGUUCACCCCUGGCCAAUCCAGUCAAGCUCCAUGCAUAGUCUUCCUUGAGGCUGAGAAGGUGGAAGGAGAAGCACUACCCCUUGAAUAUGGAAUUGGAGAUUUAAUAUUGACAGCACUGACUCUUAGAGAACUGAAACGAGACAGGAAAGGCAUGCUGCCCUUUUGGGUGUUGCUAAGAGUGUCCCCACCAGGGGAAAAGGGUAGUUCGACAGAGUCCAGUUGGUAACAGACACUCGAUAAAAGAAUCCGUUUUAUGUUUAUUAUCUAAUGAAUCAAGAUUCCUCAUUAAAUCAGUUUGUGGAGAGAAUGUUAGAGGCUUCCUCUAACUCAGCAACUGUCUUUCCUGAAAAUCCUAGCUCCCAGUACACGGAGCUGCCACCGUGAAGCUUCAGUUUCCCUGCCACCUGACACCAUGGUGACUGCUCCCCACUUCCAGUGGAAAUGUGUCACAGAAGCCGCUAAUGGCCAUGAAAUUCUUCAUGCUCUGGGAUUUUUGUUUUCCUGAAACCUUUGACACAGAGCUUUCAUUGAGAAGAGGAAAUGAAGAAAGAAGCAUGGUUCCAAGUACCAUGAAUAGCCCCACCCGAGGGGAGCAGUUUAUGUGUGCAGAAAGCGCCCUGGGAAUUAUGGUACAGUGGGUGUCAGGGACUAGAAGGAAAUGAAGAGUGAGAUCCAAGGUGAACCCAGAAGUCUGCAAUAGUGUCUCAUGAUCUCUCCAGUCAACCACUAAUAAAUACUUUUGAGCAUCUAAUAUUUGCUGCGUCCUAGACAAGGGCUGAACAUCGUCACUAUGCUAGGCAAGGAUCCCAGUGAGCAAGGAAAGGCCUGCAGAUGCCUCUCCCAACGAAGACCUGUGCACC
rnacentral:lncRNA from 10 species